AAGACCUUGCACUUUUGGAGCGGCCGAUGUCUGAUUAGCUAGUUGGUGGGGUAAUGGCCUACCAAAGCUUCGAUCAGUAGCUGGUCUGAGAGGACGGCCAGCCACACUGGGACUGAGACACGGCCCAGACUCCUACGGGAGGCAGCAGUGGGGAAUUUUGGACAAUGGGCGCAAGCCUGAUCCAGCCAUGCCGCGUGAGUGAAGAAGGCCUUCGGGUUGUAAAGCUCUUUCAGCCGGGAAGAAAAGGUUGCGACUAAUAAUCGCAAUUCAUGACGGUACCGAAAGAAGAAGCACCGGCUAACUACGUGCCAGCAGCCGCGGUAGUACGUAGGGUGCGAGCGUUAAUCGGAAUUACUGGGCGUAAAGGGUGCGCAGGCGGUUUUGUAAGUCAGAUGUGAAAUCCCCGGGCUUAACCUGGGAACU
rnacentral:rRNA from 1 species